rnacentral:rRNA from 1 species
GACGAACCGUGCGAACGUUGUUCGGAAUCACUGGGCUUAAAAGGGCGCGUAGGCGGGUGUGCAAGUCUGUGGUGAAAGCCUCCAGCUUAACUGGAGAAGUGCCAUGGAUACUGCACAUCUUGAGGAGGGUAGGGGCAUCUGGAACGGUCGGUGGAGCGGUGAAAUGCGUUGAUAUCGACCGGAACUCCGGUGGCGAAGGCGAGGUGCUGGACCCUUUCUGACGCUGAGGCGCGAAAGCCAGGGGAGCAAGCGGG